rnacentral:rRNA from 1 species
UACGGAGGGUGCAAGCGUUACUCGGAAUUACUGGGCGUAAAGCGUGCGUAGGUGGUGAGUUAAGUCUGUCGUGAAAGCCCCGGGCUCAACCUGGGAAUGGCGAUGGAUACUGGCUCGCUAGAGUGCGGUAGAGGAGAGUGGAAUUCCCGGUGUAGCAGUGAAAUGCGUAGAGAUCGGGAGGAACAUCAGUUGCGAAGGCGGCUCUCUGGACCAGCACUGACACUGAGGCACGAAAGCGUGGGGAUCAAACAGG